rnacentral:lncRNA from 1 species
UCAGUUCAGCAUGGUCUGAGUGGGGAGCAGGAUCUUGGAGUCGAAGGUGGCGGUGGAGUUGAGCAUCCAGGUGUAGAACGGGUGGAAGACGACGGACGCCGGGCAGCUCAGCGUCGCCGGCAGUUUGGGGCACUUGAUGAAGGUCUUGGCGUCCGUGUCCACGCAGAGGUAGACCUGGUACAGCUGCUUCUUGCCGAACGGCCCGUCCCGGCACUGCAGGCCCGGCUCGACGCCCAGCUUCGCGGCCACCGCCGCCUUGAUCCUCGCCGUGUUGUACAGCUUGUAGUCCGGCAGGAUGCCCUGGUCGGCGAGGGCGCCGAGGAUGUCGGCCUGCUUCCUGAGGCUGAGCGCCGCCUUGAAGUAGUCCAGCUGCUUGAGGCCUGAGCAGACGCCGUAGUUGUCCCAGGCGCUCUUCCACGCGUUCACGCCGUCGGUUGGCGGGCACUUGAGCCUGAUCCAGUAGUGGUUGAUGUUGUUCUCGAUCUUGUCCAGCUGAUCGUACGUGUUCCAUCAAUCGACGAUGCAUGGUGGUUGAUUAAUUAAGCAGGUUUAUUAAGUUUAACAUAUACUAGACAGAGAGUGAGUGUGUGUGAGAGAGGUGAGUUAAUUAAUUAACCUUUUUAGCAUCGAAGGGGCUGCCGUUCCUGCAACGGACUAUGGGCUUGUUAAUGGACACGUCGAAGGUUUGGAAGAACUCGACGAAGAAAUCCUCCGCCGGGUAGCCGUACUUGGGCACGCAGCAACCAUUGUCGCUGUCCUCGCAGUAUGCUCCAGGCCACUGUGCAUACACAGCAAUCCAUCCAUCGAUAGAUUUAGCUAGGCAGCUUGCAACUAAUGAUUUCACUGGCCUACGUAGGAUUUAGCUAGGAAGCUCUCCAUGAAGAUGACAUAUGAAGUCAACAAAUACCAGUUCUGUAAUGUAAAUUGAUUUAUCUAAUAACCACUUUGCGCUCGAGUGUGCACCCAAAUAUUACCGUUUGUACAAAAUGCCGUGUAAAACUAAAACUAUAUAAUAGGCUGUUUUGGGGCUAAUAUAUGAAAUCAGGUGGGGAACACCUCCUCCCGUUGACUUUCAAAAAAAAACAAUAGCAAAACGGAAAAACAACCCGAAUCGAGUCGAUUUUAACCUAUAUAAAUAGGGGUGUUGUAGUUGAAAAGAUAACUUUUGGCAAGAUAAUAAAAUGAAGAUUUUCUUUAAUUACCUACCCAUUAUUCACACAUUUGCCUUGUCUUUAUUUGGGUUUUCUAAUUUGAAUAAUCCGUUUGACGAUUGUCUUGAGGGAAAAAAAAUCAAUGGUAAUCUUUUCUGCAGGUUCUUUUGAUAUCUGUGAACGUACUCUCUUCGUCUCAAAAAUAAUCCAAUUUUAACAUUCAAAUAAGCUCAAAAAAACAUUGAGAUGUUGUAAAAAAAAUGUAAACUUUAGCUUACAAUUAAUUUAUUGGGUCAUCAACUCUUCGUAUGCUGUCAUAAAAAAGAGUGGUAUACAGUUGCAUGAUGACAACGAAGUUUAUGGAUACAAUAAUUUGUCUUGGUCAAUCCAACACACAGGGAGAGUAAAAAGAUUAGAGGCAACACACCAUUUUUAUAUUAAUCAAAAUAGCUAGUCUGCAACUUAUUACUUUUGUUGUACAUUACACGGUUCUACAGUAGAACAAACAAAUCCAAAAAUGACAAUUUAGCUUCAUAUAAAUGCACUUUGAAAUGUAGCAUCAGGCACGCGAGUGUGCUUAGACCUUGUAAUGGAAGAGAAAUAUUACAUAGACAAAAAAUAAUAAUUGUAAUUUUGUGAUUGCAGAUAAUGAUUCAGUCAAGAAAAGUAAACUGUCUACGAUCAUCAGAUUUAGCAAUAUAUGUUAGUAGACUGUUAAUCUUGUGCACGAGAUUAAGCAUUUGAAAAGGUUCAUACCAUGAGGAUAAGGUAAAAGAAAUCAAAGGGCACCGCAUUGGCAGCUGCCAGUAAGCCAAGGAUUAGGCUCAACACGA